rnacentral:rRNA from 1 species
CACGUAGGGCGCAAGCGUUGUCCGGAAUUAUUGGGCGUAAAGAGCUCGUAGGUGGUUUGUUACGUCUGCUGUGAAAACCUAGGGCUUAACCCUGGCUUGCAGUGGAUACGGGCAGACUAGAGGUAGGUAGGGGAGAAUGGAAUUCCUGGUGUGAGCGGUGAAAUGCGCAGAGUAUCGAGGAGGAACACCGGUGGCGAAGGCGGUUCUCUGGGCCUACCUGACACUGGAGGAGCGAAAGCGUGGGAGCGAA